UCCCUGGUGGUCCUGUGGUUAGGACUCUGUGCUUCUAAUGCUGGGGCCCAGGUUUGAUCCCUGGUCAGGAAA
rnacentral:tRNA from 1 species